UGUGGCAAGUUUUUAAGGGCGCACGGUGGAUGCCUUGGCAUCAGGAGCCGAUGAAGGACGCGGUAAUCUGCGAUAAGCCUCGGGGAGCUGAUAAACGAGCUGUGAUCCGAGGGUCUCCGAAUGGGGAAACCCCGCCGCGUGUUAUGCGUGGUGACCCGCACCUGAAUUCAUAGGGUGUGUGGAGGGAACGUGGGGAAGUGAAACAUCUCAGUACCCACAGGAAGAGAAAACAACAGUGAUUCCGUCAGUAGUGGCGAGCGAACGCGGAAGAGGCCAAACCGAUGGUGUGUGAUACCCGGCAGGGGUUGCAUCAUCGGGGUCGUGGGGCGUGUCGUCCCGGGUCUGCCGGCCCGGGCGUGUGAGUGCAGGGCGAUAGUCGAACCGGUGUGAGUGCCGGACCGGAGAGGGUGAGAGUCCCGUAGACGAAAUCGUUGCUGCCGCACGGUACGCGUACCCAAGUAGCACGGGGCCCGAGAAAUCCCGUGUGAAUCUGCCAGGACCACCUGGUAAGCCUAAAUACUACCUGAUGACCGAUAGCGGACCAGUACCGUGAGGGAAAGGUGAAAAGUACCCCGGGAGGGGAGUGAAAUAGUACCUGAAACCGUGUGCCUACAAACCGUC
rnacentral:rRNA from 1 species